GAGAAGAGCCCUUUGGUGGAUCCAAGUCCUAUUGGAUCAAGGCUUCAUUUUUACAACCUCAUUUAAACUUCAUUUUGCUGCAUCCCCAAAGGCUUCACUUCCAGCUAUAGAUAAGUAGGGGCACCUCCUGCUGAGUCAGUCUGUUAACACAACAUAGCUGAAAAGUCCACAGCCUUGUGUGCUUCUACCUUCUCCGGAUACCAACGGUCACCGUGAUAGUCAAUCAAGCUUUAAAAAGACACAGCUAUUCAAUUGAGGGAAGUAUUUCCUUGUGAGAGUCAUUUCUUGGACAACUCCUUUCAUCUGGAAACCAGGAAGUGAGUCAGCUUUACUAACUUCAAUCUCCUGGUUGGUGUUUUGUUAUUCAUCCGGACUAAGGACAUUUUUUUCCUCCCCACAGAACCUGGUAUGACCAAGCAGGCAGGUCACUUGCUGAAAUCUCCGCUUCAAAACAUCUACAGGUUCUGUUGUCAAGGAUCUUAACAGCCUCUGCUUGGAAAGGUGCCUGGCUGGUCACAAGACUAUGACUCAUCGGCGUUAGCUAAACACAAGACCCAGCUGACAAAAUCCAUGACGUCAUUCCUUUUCUAUGUGUCUUUAACAUCGUUUAGAUACAGAAGUCCUUGGAUAAUAUGCAAAGCUUUCAAAUAAGAACAUGUCUGGAAUACUUAAGAGAAAAAACACCCUGUUAUGUCUGAGUAACAAAGGCAAUGCAGGCUCCAGGAUUCUGGGCUUGUGGUACUUGCUGAUACAAAGUACUCCACCAAGUUUUACAGUGUAUAAACUAGUCACUAGGGCUGGUUAAAGUUUAACUCAACUGAAAUAUUUCAGACUUGAGUAACUACUGAAGAAUGCCCAGUUUGGUAGUACUGAAAAAAUCAACAACCCCCAAGAACUAUUUCCUU